rnacentral:rRNA from 1 species
GAUGAACGCUGACAGAAUGCUUAACACAUGCAAGUCUACCAAGAAUCACUUCGGUGAGGAAUGGUGGCGGACGGGUGAGUAACGCGUAAAUAAUCUGCCCUUUAGACUGGGAUAUCCUUUGGAAACGAAGGUUAAUACCGGAUAUUAUGAGAUGGACGUAUGCUCAACUUAUGAAAGCUAAAUGCACUAGAGGAGGAGUUUGCGUCCCAUUAGCUAGUUGGUGAGGUAAAGGCUCACCAAGGCCACGAUGGGUAGCCGGCCUGAGAGGGUGAACGGCCACAAGGGAACUGAGACACGGUCCUUACUCCUACGGGAGGCAGCAGUGGGGAAUAUUGGACAAUGGACCAAAAGUCUGAUCCAGCAAUUCUGUGUGCACGAUGAAGGUCUUCGGAUUGUAAAGUGCUUUCAGUAGGGAAGAAAAAAAUGACGGUACCUACAGAAGAAGCGACGGCUAAAUAUGUGCCAGCAGCCGCAUAAAAC